ensembl:lncRNA
GAGCCAGCUUUACAGACGCUUCAGAUGACCCAUGGCCAACACACAGACCGUCUUCCACAUGUCCACUUUAAAGCUGGAAGAGUACUGAGAUACCUGUUAUUGUCUUGUGCAAAUAUGAUCACAUCUUGUGCGCUGUGAUGGGGAAAAAGAUUUCAACACUGCUGCCGUUGAUAACCCAACAGCGAGAUCUUUGUGGCGAAACGCAGUGGUUAAUUCCAGGGGUCAACUUGACUAGCUGCCGAAGGAGCCAGGGGCAAAUGACAGAACUAGCAAUGUUCUGUCACCAUUCUGGUCGUCUUGGAGAUCGGAUGCCAGAAGCGGUGUGUGCAAAGCAGAAAGCAUCAUCAAAUCACGACUCGAGGGUACCACACCUUCUGAUGGCAGCCUUGGAAAAAAAAAGAAGAUCACAAUUAAGAAUCAAGAAAUCGUCUAUUUGUCUAUAUACCAGCUCUACAAGGCAGUAGUACAUCUUUGUUGGUCUGCAGAGAUCUGCUCAAAAGGAAGCAAAUCUGUCACGGAUCAUUAUAAUCUGAGGCAGUCCAUCUCAAGAAGAUCACCUGCUAGUUAUUAGCUUGUCCAAUAAAGGUUUCUGACAAUUGGCUGACUAAAGAGAAAACGAAGACAUGUUUUACUGACUGUUCUGCACAUUAUGAAAGCACUACCCAGAGGUUGACAGCUGCAGCAUUACAACCCCUUUUUGGGACAAUCCUGAAAGAUACUGGUGAAGGGAAAUCUUUGCAGUGGGCAGAGCUUCAGGCAGUACACAUUGUAUUGCAGUUUGUUUUGAAGAAGAAAUGGACUUGGAAAGAUCAGGAUUGGAAAAUUGAUGAGAAAGACAUCUGGGGAAGAAGUAUGUGGAUAAAUCUCUCCAAAUAGGCAAAGAAUUCGAAGAUAUUUGUGACCCAUGUAAAUGCUCACCAAAAUGUGACUUCAGCUGAGGAGGAGUUCAAUAAUCAAGUGGAUAAGAUGACCCGUUCUGUGGACAGUCAGCCUAUUUCCCCAGCCAACCCUGUCAUUGCUCAAUGGGCACACGAACAAACCAGUCAUGGUGGCCGAGAUGGAGGUUAUGCUUAGGCUCAACAACAUGGACUUCUACUCACCAAGGCUGACCUGGCUAUAGCUGCUGAUCAAUGCCAGAUCUGCCAAUAACAGAGACCCAACACUGAGCCCCAGAUAUGGCACCAUUCCUUGAGGUGACCAGCCAGCAACCUGGUGGCAGGUUUACAACAUUGGCCCACUUCCUUCAUGGAAAGGACAAUGUUUUGUUCUUAUUGGAGUAGAUACUUAUUCUGGUUAUAGAUUUGCCUUUCCUGCAUGUAAUGGUUCUACCAGUUCCAUGGACUUACAGAAUGCCUUAUCCACCAUCAUGUUAUUCUACAGUAUUGUUUUUGACCAAGGAACUCACUUCACAGAGAAGUGUAGCAGUGGACCCAUGAUCAUGGAAUCCACUGGUCUUGCCAUUUCCUCACCAUCCAGAAGCAGCUGGCCUGACAGAAAGAUUGAAUGGCCUUUUGAAGACACAGUUACAGCAUCAGUUAGGUGGCAGUGGCAUGGAGGGCUGGGGCAGGGUUCUUCAGAAGGCAGUAUAUGGUUUGAAUCAGUAUCUGAUAUAUGGUACAGUUUCUCCCAUAGCCAGGAUCCAUGGGUCCAGGAAUCAAGGGGUGGAAAGGGGAAUAGUUCCACUCACUAUCACUUCUAGUGACCCUCUAGAAAAAUUUUUGCUUUCUGUCCCCACAACCCUAAGUUCUGCUGGGCUAGAAAUUUUGGUUCCAGAGACGGUGUGCUCCUACCAGGAGCCACAACACAUAUUCCUUUGAACUGGAAGUUCCGACUUCUCCUUGGUUAUUUUGGGCUUCUAAUGCCCUUAAACCAACAGUCCAGGAAAGCAAUAACAGUGUUAGGAAGGGUGAUAGAUCCAGAUUACCAUGGGACAAUUGGAUUGCCUCUCCACAAUGGAGGUAAGAAGGAUUAUGUCUGGAGUGCAGGAGAUCCCUUAGGGCGUGUCUUAGUAUGACCAUGUCCUGUGAUUAAAGUCAAUGGGAAACUACAACUGUUCAAUCCAAUUAGGAUGGCAAUCAGGAAUGAAGUUAUGGGAGUCCAGGAAAAGAACCAAGACCUGCUGAGGUGUUCGAAAAGGGUGGAGGAAAUACAGAAUGGGUAGUAGAGGAAGGUAGUUAUAAAUACCAUCUAAGGCCACGUGACCCAUUGCAGAAAUGAGGAUUAUAAAGUAAUAUGAAUGCUUCUGUUUUAUUUUAUCAAGAACACAUUUGUAUAGAUAGGGACAUUGACCUAUUUUAAAUUUACAAUGUGUUUGCUAUUGUAAGUUAUAUUAGGUCAGGCAUAUUUAUGACCUGGUUAUUGUUUCAUUUGGACAUGAGAUAUGAUUUGUAUCAAGUUCACAAGGGGUGGAUUGUGGUGGCUAUUCCUGGUUGUCAACUUGACUAUAUCUGGAACGAACUACAAUCCAGAAUUGGAGGGCUCACCUGUGAUCCAGAUCUCGAGGCUGGAAGACACAAGUUCUGACCUGGAUAUUGACUUGGAGAUCCUGAGGCAUAGUGGCCAUGAAAAAUUUAGGCCAAGGGAAGAUAGUACACACCUUUAAUCCCAGAGACUGGGGAAUCUCUGAGCUCAAGGUCAGCCUGGAACAAAACAAGUCACAGAUCCAGGUGUGGUGGCACACACCUUUAAUCUGGGCCACACCUUCUGCUGGAGGCCUUAUAAGGACAUUGGAAAAAGGAAGAUUCACUCUUUAACUGCUUGCACUUACCUGCCAGCACAUGUGCUGGAAUCUACUUUUACAGAAGACCAGUUGAAACAAGUAGCCUCAUGAACCUGAACAACUACUAGAUUCUUAGAUUUCCAAUCCACAGUUGGCCGUUGUUGGACUACAGACUGUAGGUAUUCACAAUAAAUCCCUUAAUAUAGAGAGACAUGAAGAAAAGAUGGGCCAAUCUGACUGGAACUGUUUGGGGUGCAUGCACUGUAAUGCAAAAACUGUCCUUUAGUAACCUUUUAAGGAGAAACCUAUAUUUGCUGUCUUAUGCCUAUGCAUAAUUGGGUAUGCAUAUGAUUAAACUCAGGUGCAUUAUGGGUAGCAACAUGAACAAUAAGAAACAAUUGAAAUAUGUGACCCAAUCUAUCAUUCAAAACACAGAACUGGGGUUGGGGAUUUAGCUCAGUGGUAGAGCGCUUGCCUAGCAAGCACAAGGCCCUGGGUUCGGUCCCCAGCUCCAAAAAAAAACCAAACAAACCACAGAACCACUUAAAUUACCUGAUUUAGUAGCCUGGCAUUCUGUGCUGGCUCCUCCCUUAGUAACCAACCCCUGUGCUGGCUCCUCCCCUUAGUAACCACCCUCUGUGCUGGCUCCUCCGCUUAGUAACCAGCCCUCUGUCCUGACUCCUCCCCUUAGUAACCGGCUUUCUGUGCUGGCUUCUCCCCUUAGUAACCAGCCCUCCGUCUUGACUCCUCCUCUUAGUAACCAGCCCUCUGUGCUGUCUAGUUUUUUGUCAACCUGACACAAACUAGAGUUUAGAGGAGGGAAUCUCAACCAAGAAAAGGUUUCCAUAAAAAUGAUGCUGUAGACAAGCCUGUAGGACAUUUUCUUAAUUAGUGAUUGGUGUGGGAGGUUCCACCCCAUCGUGGAUUCCAUAAGAAAGCAAGCUGAAGAGCCAUAAGGAGAGAGCCAGUAAGCAGCACUUCUCUCUGGCCUCUGCAGCAGCUCUUGCCUUCAGGUUCCUGCCCUGUUUGAGUUUCUGCUCUGAUUUCUUUGAAACAGACUGUGAUGUGGCAGAGGUAGCCAAAUAAACCCUUUUCUACCAAA